GGAAUAUUGCGCAAUGGAGGAAACUCUGACGCAGUGACGCCGCGUGCAGGAAGAAGGUUUUCGGAUUGUAAACUGCUUUAGACAGGGAAGAAAAAGACAGUACCUGUAGAAUAAGCUCCGGCUAACUACGUGCCAGCAGCCGCGGUAAUACGUAGGGAGCAAGCGUUAUCCGGAUUUAUUGGGUGUAAAGGGUGCGUAGACGGGAUAAUAAGUUAGUUGUGAAAUCCCCAGGCUCAACUUGGGAACUGCAACUAAAACUGUUAUUCUUGAGUGUUGGAGAGGAAAGUGGAAUUCCUAGUGUAGCGGUGAAAUGCGUAGAUAUUAGGAGGAACACCAGUGGCGAAGGCGACUUUCUGGACAAUAACUGACGUUGAGGCACGAAAGUGUGGGGAGCAAACA
rnacentral:rRNA from 1 species